rnacentral:rRNA from 1 species
ACUGCGAGUGAAGCGGGAAAAGCUCAAAUUUAAAAUCUGGCGGUCUUUGGUCGUCCGAGUUGUAGUCUGGAGAAGUGCUUUCCGCGCUGGACCGUGUACAAGUCUCUUGGAACAGAGCGUCAUAGAGGGUGAGAAUCCCGUCUUUGACACGGACUACCAGUCGCUUUGUGAUGCGCUCUCAAAGAGUCGAGUUGUUUGGGAAUGCAGCUCAAAAUGGGUGGUGAAUUCCAUCUAAAGCUAAAUAUUGGCGAGAGACCGAUAGCGAACAAGUACCGUGAGGGAAAGAUGAAAAGCACUUUGGAAAGAGAGUUAAACAGUACGUGAAAUUGCUGAAAGGGAAACGCUUGAAGUCAGUCGCGUUGGCCAGAACUCAGCCUUGCUCUUUUGCUUGGUGCAUUUUCUGGUUGACGGGUCAGCAUCAGUUUUGAUCGUUGGAGAAAGGUCAGAGGAAUGUGGCACCUCCGGGUGUGUUAUAGCCUCUGGUCACAUACGACGAUUGGGACUGAGGGUCUCAGCACGCCUCUAAGGCCGGGGUUCGCCCACGUUCGUGCUUAGGAUGCUGGCAUAAUGGCUUUAAGCGACCCGUCUUGAAACACGGACCAAGGAGUCUAACAUACCUGCGAGUGUUUGGGUGGAAAACCCGAGCGCGUAAUGAAAGUGAAAGUUGAGAUCCCUGUCGUGGGGAGCAUCGACGCCCGGACCUGACGUUCUCUGACGGCUCCGCGGUAGAGCAUGUAUGCUGGGACCCGAAAGAUGGUGAACUAUGCCUGAAUAGGGUGAAGCCAGAGGAAAC